UACGUAGGGCGCGAGCGUUGUCCGGAAUUAUUGGGCGUAAAGAGCUCGUAGGCGGCCGGUUGCGUCUGCUGUGAAAUCCCGGGGCUUAACCCCGGGCGUGCAGUGGAUACGGGCAGACUAGAGGUAGGUAGGGGAGAAUGGAAUUCCUGGUGUAGCGGUGAAAUGCGCAGAUAUCAGGAGGAACACCGGUGGCGAAGGCGGUUCUCUGGGCCUUACCUGACACUGAGGAGCGAAAGCGUGGGGAGCGAACAGG
rnacentral:rRNA from 1 species